AGGUAUAUAGCUCAAGUGGUAGAGCACAUGCUUAGCAUGCAUGAGGCCCUGGGUUCAAUUCCCAAUACCUC
rnacentral:tRNA from 1 species